AUCUUCAGAACACGAGCGUGCUUGCUCACUUUGGCAGCACAUACAGAGAAGAUUAGCAUGGUCCCUGUGCAAGGAGGACACUCAAAUCUGUGAAGCAUUCCGUAUUCUU
rnacentral:snRNA from 1 species